rnacentral:rRNA from 1 species
AUACAGAGGGUGCGAGCGUUAAUCGGAUUUACUGGGCGUAAAGCGUGCGUAGGCGGCUUUUUAAGUCGGAUGUGAAAUCCCUGAGCUUAACUUAGGAAUUGCAUUCGAUACUGGGAAGCUAGAGUAUGCGAGAGGAUGGUAGAAUUCCAGGUGUAGCGGUGAAAUGCGUAGAGAUCUGGAGGAAUACCGAUGGCGAAGGCAGCCAUCUGGCCUAAUACUGACGCUGAGGUACGAAAGCAUGGGGAGCAAACAGGAUUAGAUACCCUAGUAGUCC